GCGUCUUAGAGCUCGGAUAGAUCAUGAGACUCUUAAUCUCAGGGUUGUGGGUUCGAGCCCCACGUUGGGCA